rnacentral:rRNA from 1 species
AGCUGGUCUGAGAGGAUGAUCAGCCACACUGGGACUGAGAUACGGCCCAGACUCCUACGGGAGGCAGCAGUGGGGAAUAUUGGACAAUGGGGGAAACCCUGAUCCAGCCAUGCCGCGUGUGUGAUGAAGGCCUUCGGGUUGUAAAGCACUUUCGCACGUGACGAUGAUGACGGUAACGUGAGAAGAAGCCCCGGCUAACUUCGUGCCAGCAGCCGCGGUAAUACGAAGGGGGCAAGCGUUGUUCGGAAUUACUGGGCGUAAAGGGCGCGUAGGCGGUGCACUAAGUCAGGCGUGAAAGCCCUGGGCUCAACCCGGGAAUUGCGUUUGAUACUGGUGCGCUUGAAUCCAGGAGAGGUUGGUGGAAUUCCCAGUGUAGAGGUGAAAUUCGUAGAGAUUGGGAAGAACACCGGUGGCGAAGGCGGCCAACUGGACUGGUAUUGACGCUGAGGCGCGAAAGCGUGGGGAGCAAACAGGAUUAGAUACCCUGGUAGUCCACGCUGUAAACGAUGUGUGCUAGCCGUUGGGGCUCUUAGAGCCUCGGUGGCGUCGCUAACGCUUUAAGCACACCGCCUGGGGAGUACGGUCGCAAGAUUAAAACUCAAAGGAAUGAC